rnacentral:rRNA from 1 species
GAUGAACGCUGGCGGCGUGCCUAAUACAUGCAAGUUGAGCGGACGUUUUGUUGGUGCUUGCACCGACUUAACGUUAGCGGCGGACGGGUGAGUAACACGUGGGCAACCUGCCCUGUAGUCUGGGAUAACUCCGGGAAACCGGGGCUAAUACCGGAUGAUACUUUUUAAUUCAUGUUAGAAAGUUGAAAGAUGGUUCUGCUAUCGCUACAGGAUGGGCCCGCGGCGCAUUAGCUAGUUGGUGAGGUAACGGCUCACCAAGGCAACGAUGCGUAGCCGACCUGAGAGGGUGAUCGGCCACACUGGGACGGAGACACGGCCCAGACUCCGACGGGAGGCAGCAGUAGGGAAUCUUCCACAAUGGACGAAAGUCUGAUGGAGCAACGCCGCGUGAGUGAAGAAGGAUUUCGGUUCGUAAAACUCUGUUGUAAGGGAAGAACAAGUACAGUAGUAACUGGCUGUACCUUGACGGUACCUUAUUAGAAAGCCACGGCUAACUACGUGCCAGCCGCCGCAGUAAGAC